rnacentral:rRNA from 1 species
CCCUAUGGGGUGCAGCAGGCGAGAAAACUUUGCAAUGUGCGAAAGCUCGACAAGGUUAAUCUGAGUGGUUCCUGCUAAAGGAACCUUUUGUCAGUCCUAGAACCACUGAUGAAUAAGGGGUGGGCAAGUUCUGGUGUCAGCCGCCGCGGUAAAACCAGCACCUCAAGUGGUCAGGAUGAUUAUUGGGCCUAAAGCAUCCGUAGCCUGUUCUGUAAGUUUUCGGUUAAAUCCGUACGCUCAACUUAUGGGCUGCCGAAAAUACUGCAAAACUAGGGAGUGGGAGAGGUAGACGGUACUCGGUAGGAAGGGGUAAAAUCCUUUGAUCUGUUGAUGACCACCUGUGGCGAAGGCGGUCUACCAGAACACGUUCGACGGUGAGGGAUGAAAGCUGGGGGAGCAAACCGGAUUAGAUACCCGGGUAGUCCCAGCUGUAAACGAUGCAAACUCGAUGAUGCGUUGGCUUGUGGCUAGCGCAGUGUCGCAGGAAGCCGUUAAGUUUGCCGCCUGGGAAGUACGUACGCAAGUAUGAAACUUAAAGGAAUUGGCGGGGGAGCACCACAAGGGUGAAGCCUGCGGUUCAAUUGGAGUCACGCCUGAAAUCUUACCCGAGAGACAGCAGAUGAAGUCAGCUGAGACUUACAGACAGCUGAGAG